UACGUAGGGUGCGAGCGUUGUCCGGAUUUAUUGGGCGUAAAGGGCUCGUAGGCGGCGUGUCGCGUCGGGAGUGAAAGACCGGGGCUUAACCCCGGUUCUGCUUCCGGUACGGGCAUGCUGGAGUGUGGCAGGGGAGACUGGAAUUCCUGGUGGUAGCGGUGGAAUGCGCAGAUAUCAGGAGGAACACCGGUGGCGAAGGCGGGUCUCUGGGCCAUUACUGACGCUGAGGAGCGAAAGCGUGGGGAGCGAACAGG
rnacentral:rRNA from 1 species